rfam:Camelus ferus unplaced genomic scaffold scaffold85562, whole genome shotgun sequence.
GAGGGUAUAACUCAGUGGUGGAGCACAUGCUUAGCAUGCAGGAGGCCCUGGGUUCAACUCCCCAGUACCUCCA